GGACCAGACUCCUACGGGAGGCAGCAGUAAGGGAUAUUGGUCAAUGGGGGAAACCCUGAACCAGCAACGCCGCGUGAGGGAAGACGGUUUUCGGAUUGUAAACCUCUGUCCUCUGUGAAGAUGAUGACGGUAGCAGAGGAGGAAGCUCCGGCUAACUACGUGCCAGCAGCCGCGGUAAUACGUAGGGGGCAAGCGUUAUCCGGAUUUACUGGGUGUAAAGGGAGCGUAGACGGCAGCGCAAGUCUGGAGUGAAAUCCCAUGGCUUAACCAUGGAACUGCUUUGGAAACUGUGCAGCUGGAGUGCAGGAGAGGUAAGCGGAAUUCCUAGUGUAGCGGUGAAAUGCGUAGAUAUUAGGAGGAACACCAGUGGCGAAGGCGGCUUACUGGACUGUAACUGACGUUGAGGCUCGAAAGCGUGGGGAGCAAACAGGAUUAGAUACCCCCGUA
rnacentral:rRNA from 1 species